rnacentral:tRNA from 3 species
GGUAGGGUGGCCGAAUGUAAGGCGUCGGGUUGUAGCCCCGAGUAUGAAGGUUCAAGUCCUUUCUCUAUCA